GAUUCAAGGUAAUUGUUUUAUUUAUUUACAUGUAAUUAUCCUAUUAUUAUACGACGCGAAGCAAGACCGCACCGUGACUCUUUUACGCGACUAUAAGUGCAUGUGACAGGAAUUAUAGUGGUUUACGUUUACGUGAGUAUUACUUCUGUAGUAAUUUAUACGAACGAUAUCAUCGUAGUUACUAUAAAAUCUCCUGUUUAUGCGGAGGAAUUAUCGUAUCGUUCGUAAGUUACUACAGACUUAAGUAACGCUCGCGUAAACGUAGUAUAGGUUAGAUUACCGGCUUUUUAUUUUACAUAAAACGCGAGAUUCACUUAUGUAUGCAAGUUUAACGCCUAUUGAGUUAAUAUGAAAUAAUUUUCCUAAAUGUAAAAAUAACACAAUGUUAUAUAUGCGGUUUGGCGUGAACAUAUAUCGCGAUAAUAGCCAAGGUGAUCGAAGAAGUUGUGUAUAAUGUUCCGAUUCAACGGCCCCUGUCCCUGGUUGAGAGUGUUAAUAAUGACAUUAAUAUCUCUCACACUGUCAAGCCAAAUUGGCUCUUCGUUCAGCUUCCGACUCAUUCAUCAUUUCUCCUUUUGCAAAAUUUGGAAAACAGCAUGAUGUAUUGGUUGUUAUAACAAUGAAUUGCUGCCAGUUCCAGAUGUAUUGAACAAGGAUGAUUACGUGGCUGUAUAUUGGAGCGACAAAUGGAUUAAAGGAUGCAUUGAACGUCCAGAUCCAUCGGGAGAGAGAAGCGUAGUACGAUUACUCGAUCACGGUGGUUACUGGCAGUUUAGUAAUUCGUAAUGUAGGCCAUUGAUAUAUAAUUAUUUGAGCCUACCCUUCCAAGCCAUCGAAAUCUUUUUAGCAAAUAUUCAGCCAAAGAACGGUAAAUGGUCGACAGAAGCUUACAAUGUGGUACAAAAUUGUUCCUCAAAGGGAGUUGGUGCUCAAGCUCAGAUUGAAAGUCGCAUUCAAACUAAUAUUUAUGCAAAUAUUUAUUUUAUGAUACAAAAUUAUGGGCUAAUUUCCAUUGCUGAAAAACUGGUAACGAACGGAAAUGCUGAACAAGUAGCAUGGGAUCAGAUGAAGCCAGAAACACUUGAAUCCAUCUGUACAUAAGAGUUGUCAAGAAACUCUACAAUUUUUACGCAUAAUUCGCGAUUCUUAGUCAGUAUGGACUAGAGUUUAAUACAAUCGCCAUCAUUGAUGAUUCCCUUUAAUCGCGUCAAAAUUGAUUAUUUCGCUUUUUGACUUCGUUUUUUACUCAUGUUGUAAAAUAGUUUUCCGAUUGUGUAGAAUAUUUAUAUUUAGAAAGAAAGAAAUUUAUAAAGAUUGCUAUAUUGAUCGUAGAGUAGAGAAAACAAUAACUUAACAUUUUACAAAGUAGUGUCACAUUUAAACUAGAACAUUUUAUCGAAUAACUCAGACAAAUUAGGAAAUCGUUUCUACGUUUUCUUGUAAAUUUUUUUUGUAAAAAAACUUGGUGCUGCUUUUUUACUCCUGUCGCAUUUUUUCCUAUAUUAUGUUUAUUGUUUUUUUAUUCAAUCAAAAAUGUUAGUACUAAUGUUUAAAUUUUAAUGU